GAUGAACGCUGGCGGCGUGCCUAAUACAUGCAAGUCGAGCGAAUGGAUUAAGAGCUUGCUCUUAUGAAGUUAGCGGCGGACGGGUGAGUAACACGUGGGUAACCUGCCCAUAAGACUGGGAUAACUCCGGGAAACCGGGGCUAAUACCGGAUAACAUUUUGAACCGCAUGGUUCGAAAUUGAAAGGCGGCUUCGGCUGUCACUUAUGGAUGGACCCGCGUCGCAUUAGCUAGUUGGUGAGGUAACGGCUCACCAAGGCAACGAUGCGUAGCCGACCUGAGAGGGUGAGCGGCCACCAUGGGACUGAGACACGGCCCAGACUCCUACGGGAGGCAGCAGUGGGGAAUCUUCCGCAAUGGACGAAAGUCUGACGGAGCAACGCCGCGUGAGUGAUGAAGGCUUUCGGGUCGUAAAACUCUGUUGUUAGGGAAGAACAAGUGCUAGUUGAAUAAGCUGGCACCUUGACGGUACCUAACCAGAAAGCCACGGCUAACUACGUGCCAGCAGCCGCCGUAA
rnacentral:rRNA from 1 species